CAAUAGCGCAUAUUAAAGUUGUUGCAGUUAAAAAGCUCGUAGUUGGAUUUGUGGUGGUUCCUGUGGUCCGAUUUCGACACUCUCGGGGACUGCCAUCUUUGGGUGGAUCCUGUGUGGCAUUAGGUUGUCGUGCAGGGGAUGCCCAUCGUUUACUGUGAAAAAAUUAGAGUGUUCAAAGCAGGCUUAUGCCGUUGAAUAUAUUAGCAUGGAAUAAUGAGAUAGGACCUUGGUACUAUUUUGUUGGUUUGCGCACCGAGGUAAUGAUUAAUAGGGACAGUUGUGGGUAUUCGUAUUCCAUUGUCAGAGGUGAAAUUCUUGGAUUUCUGGAAGACGAACUAAUGCGAAAGCAUUUACCAAGGAUGUUUUCAUUAA
rnacentral:rRNA from 1 species